rnacentral:rRNA from 1 species
CGGCCGCGUCGACGAGCGUUGUCCGGAUUUAUUGGGCGUAAAGCGAGCGCAGGCGGUUAGAUAAGUCUGAAGUUAAAGGCUGUGGCUUAACCAUAGUACGCUUUGGAAACUGUUUAACUUGAGUGCAAGAGGGGAGAGUGGAAUUCCAUGUGUAGCGGUGAAAUGCGUAGAUAUAUGGAGGAACACCGGUGGCGAAAGCGGCUCUCUGGCUUGUAACUGACGCUGAGGCUCGAAAGCGUGGGGAGCAAACAGGAUUAGAUACCCUGGUAGUCCACACCUAG